rnacentral:rRNA from 1 species
GACGAACGCUGGCGGCGUGCUUAACACAUGCAAGUCGGACGGAAAGGCCCUGCUUUUGUGGGGUGCUCGAGUGGCGAACGGGUGAGUAACACGUGAGUAACCUGCCCUUGACUUUGGGAUAACUUCAGGAAACUGGGGCUAAUACCGGAUAGGAGCUCCUGCUGCAUGGUGGGGGUUGGAAAGUUUCGGCGGUUGGGGAUGGACUCGCGGCUUAUCAGCUUGUUGGUGGGGUAGUGGCUUACCAAGGCUUUGACGGGUAGCCGGCCUGAGAGGGUGACCGGCCCCAUUGGGGCUGAGAUACGGCCCAGAGUCCUACGGGAGGCAGCAGUGGGGAAUAUGGCACAAUGGGCGGAAGCCUGAUGCAGCAACGCCGCGUGCGGGAUGACGGCCUUCGGGUUGUAAACCGCUUUCGCCUGUGACGAAGCGUGAGUGACGGUAAUGGGUAAAGAAGCACCGGCUAACUACGUG